GUCCUCGUAGCUCAGUUGGAUAGAGCGCAAGCUUGCGGAGCUUGAGGUCGCAGGUUCAAAUCCUGCCGAGGACGCCA
rnacentral:tRNA from 2 species